rnacentral:lncRNA from 12 species
CCUUCAUACUGCUCUAUAUUCUACACAGUAAGUUGGUUACUGUUCUAAAUAAAUAUGUUAAUAUGACAGCUGAAAAUGGCUUUCUAUCUCUUUCCUCCAACAAUUUGAUUCAUUAAGACCCUUAGAAACACUCAAAUUCUGCCAUGUAGGUAACUCCUUAUUUUAUCAAUGCUUAGCACCAGCAAGAAAUGGAAGAAAAAUUUUUAGCCAACAAGGAGUUGUUAAGCCAAAUACAAAAAUCAAAAAGUCUAAGCUUGAGGAAUUUACUUUUCUGAAAAUCCAGACCAGUAGCUAAAAGACCUAGAUUCUAUUCCUGACUUUUCACUGUUUCAUUGUGUGACCUUGGAAAGAGUGAAAGAGAACUAAUAAAUAAUAGAAUUAUAACCACUAUCUGCCAAAUUAUUUUUAUUCAUUAUCUCAGUUCAUCCUAACAAAAAUCUUGAAGGUUGAGUAUUAUUACCUGUAAUUUUUCAAAUGAGAAAAUCAUUGACCAAAAUCAUCUGUUUUUCAGACUCAGCUCUACAUGAUUUAAAUAAUAUGUUCUUUCCACCACACUGGACAAUUAUCCAGGCUGCAUUUUCCAUCUUUAUAACAGGAAGUUCCCAUCAACAUUGGAAGAGCUGGUGCAUGUGUUGUGGUGGUGAAGCUGCCAUAAAGCUAUAUUUAUCGAUAGGAAGGAAACUGGUCAUUUCAAGAAAUGGAUUAGGAAGAAGAAAAGAAGAAACACUUUUUCCCCUUCAAUUAUUAAUCAAACAUGAACAUUGUUGUAUCAUUUUAAUAUGUAGUUAUAAUUGCUUUCAUUUCUGAAGUCAAAGGAACUUUUCUUUUUUUUUCAAAGCAAGUUUUCAAACAUGAAUUACAUAUACCUGUUAAAUGUAUGUGUUGUUGCAGCUGAUAUUAUAAGUGGAAAUCCAAUAGUCUAGUUUAGCCUCAUUAUUAAAAUGUUUAGGGUAAGUCAAUAGUGACCAAGGCAUGAAAGUUUGUAAAAUCAUUGGUAAUUUUUAGGUUAAGAAUAUGAGAAUUUAAAAACAUUUUCUAUUUCAAAAAUCAAAAGGUACUCUAUUUUCUGAAAUACAGUAUAAAUGAGAACAUCUCAAGCUUAAAACGUGAAGUCCAAUUUUCAGUAAGACAUCAUUCUCUUAAUCAAAAAUAUCACAAAUAGCUAAAUUUGUACCAUAUGUACCAACAGGAAGGCUUUUACUGGGUUAGGGCUAAAAAAUAAUUCAUUUACAUAAUAUGUUAUGCUGAUCAUAGUAUGUUAAAAUUUUUACAGACUUACUCUUUUACACUGCCAUCUUGCAAAGCACACAUAUAGAUUUAGAAUUCUUUAACAUAUUGGCUUAUUAAAUUUUUUACUUCAUAUAUACAACCCAUAUAAUAAAAUAGUAAAUAUUUAUCA